AUUAGAUACCCUGGUAGUCCACGCAGUAAACGAUGAAUGCUAAUUGUCCGUUGCGAAUGAGCGAUGGGUGAUACAGCGAAAGCGUUAAGCAUUCCACCUGGGGAGUACGCCGGCAACGGUGAAACUCAAAGGAAUUGACGGGGGCCCGCACAAGCGGAGGAACAUGUGGUUUAAUUCGAUGAUACGCGAGGAACCUUACCCGGGCUCAAACGCCGUCUGACGUAGGCUGAAAGGCUUAUUUCUUCGGACAGACGGCGAGGUGCUGCAUGGUUGUCGUCAGCUCGUGCCGUGAGGUGUCGGCUUAAGUGCCAUAACGAGCGCAACCCCUGUCGACAGUUGCUAACAGGUUAGGCUGAGGACUCUGUCGAGACUGCCGGCGCAAGCUGUGAGGAAGGCGGGGAUGACGUCAAAUCAGCACGGCCCUUACGUCCGGGGCGACACACGUGUUACAAUGGCAGGUACAGCGGGAAGCCACCCGGCGACGGGGCGCGGAACCCGAAAACCUGUCUCAGUUCGGAUUGGAGUCUGCAACCCGACUCCAUGAAGCUGGAUUCGCUAGUAAUCGCGCAUCAGCCACGGCGCGGUGAAUACGUUCCCGGGCCUUGUACACACCGCCCGUCAAGCCAUGGAAGCCGGGGGUACCUGAAGUACGUGACCGCAAGGAGCGUCCUAAGGUAAAACCGGUGACUGGGGCUAAGUCGUAACAAGGUACC
rnacentral:rRNA from 1 species